UACGGAGGGCGCAAGCGUUAUCCGGAAUCAUUGGGUUUAAAGGGUGCGCAGGCGGAGCAGUAAGUCAGUGGUGAAAGCCUACGGCUUAACCGUGGAUUUGCCAUUGAUACUGCUGCUCUUGAGUACGGCCGGAGUGGGCGGAAUGCGUCAUGUAGCGGUGAAAUGCAUAGAUAUGACGCAGAACACCGAUCGCGAAAGCAGCUCACUAGACCGUAUCUGACGCUCAGGCACGAAAGCGUGGGGAGCGAACAGG
rnacentral:rRNA from 1 species